CUUUGAAUAUCGCUUUGAAGUUCAAGAUAUCAGAUAUCAAAGAUACUAUAUUAAUUGAUCAUGUUCGGAUUUAAUUUAUGACAGGCCUAAUUAAGCAAUCGAGACUGUAAUUGACCGAGCGGCUGAGUAGGUCAAGCAACGGGGUCACGGUAAGCUGUCCAGUUUUGGGCUCGGGACAACUUACCUGAGCGGUGAGUGAGCCCAAAGUUACAAAACAGUACACGGAGCGAGAAGUGUGAUGUGGCCAGCCAUCCGCCGACGGAGACUCCGCUCACUCACCUGUACACAACGACAACACAGAAAUCUGCAUCCACUCAGAUGUGUGAGAGUGCUGAAUUCCUCAGCUGUGUAAACACCUGUUGGAGCGAGAGUACAGUCUGUGAGAUGAAGAAACUGCUGAAACAUUUCGUGGUGCUCCAGACCCAUGGCCACCAGGGAAUCGUACCAGAGACCACCACGCUGGAGGACAUGAGUUCCUGGCUCAUAUCUCGCACAUGCCCGAACCGUCAGAUGCCCAAAUUGUUCCCACUGACGGAAUCAUGGAGGACUGGUGAAACUAACCAGUUGAAGUGGUGUGUGUACGCCAACCUCAUGCAGCGAACACUGGAGCUCCAGGCAUCUAAGGAGGUUCCGGUCAACCUCAAUCAGGCCCAUAAACCCAUGGCUUCUGGAGGCCUCUCCUCUCGGUGAGUGACCUAGAAACCUCCGUCCUACCCAAUCUCCAACUCUUAUUUAGAACGCUGUG
rnacentral:lncRNA from 1 species